rnacentral:lncRNA from 1 species
GACUCGUUUCCCAGGCUGGUGGAGGAAGUCGAUUGCUGCUGUCCCAAAGGAUGUGCGUAAUGGCCUCAAUUCCCUGAUAAUUUUGGUAGCCUGGGAGGUGUGGAAGCAUUGUAAUGCUUGUGUGUUUGAUAAUGUGAGGCCCAACAUUCAGGAGGUGCUCAGGUCUGUUAACACGGAAGGAGGCCUCUGGUGCUUGGCGGGAGCCUCAAAGCUCCAAGAGCUUGUGCUCAGGUCGUUAGCUCCAGGAGCUUAAAGCUCUGGAGGGUGUUGGUCAUUUUCUUUGUUUUUCUGUGGCGAGGUUGUAAUCUGGGGGUUUUGUGUGGGGUGUGAGUGUGGUGUCCUGGUGCUCGUGUUGGGUCUCUCCUGACUCGUGUAUUCUUUUCUACCUUAAUGAAAUGACGUGCAGUUCUCCUGCGUUGUUCGAGAAAAAAAAACUUCAGCUGGGUCCUGCUAUGGCAUGUUGCUGUAGUGUUGUUCCAUUUUGGGGCCACAAUUGCAGUAUUGGUUGGAAGUUAUAGUAAAAUGAUUUAUUUCCCUACAUAUGUAUAGAUAAGUUAGAGCCUGUUUCUGAGGGGGCCAAGUCAAGUUAUUCCUAUAAAAAAUGCCUGCAUUAUAUCACAUUUGUCAAUUAAAUGAGGGCGUGCCCAGUGCAAAAACUCCCACACAAGCAAAGAGGAUGGUUCGAACCCAUGACCUCCAGGUCAGAAGUGGAGAGUUUCUACCACUGCGACAGAUCUGCCCUUCACUUGUCAAUUAAACUAGAAUGAUGAAAAAAUCUCUCACGUCUAAAGUUUUAUCAUUCAACUAUGUAGUUUAUUUCCCUCUUCUAGUACCCUUCUCCACUACUCAUGCUAUGCUGUUUAGCUCUACUCUCUGCAGUAGUACCGCAUUCUAAACUUUAUAUUCCUUAUUCUUCCAAAUUCAUCAAUUGAGCCCAUUUCAUUUGAGCUUCAUUUUUGGCAUCCUCCAUUAGGUCUUAUAAACUGCAAUGGCAAUGCAUGUAUUGCAUGAGGCUUCAAUGCAUGUAUUGCAUGAGGCUUUAAAUAAGCAUAGCGUGCAACACCACACUAGCAUGUUCAUUGGAUUGUUAUGCCAGUAUCGGAUUAAACGGAUGAGGCCCAACUGAACCAAUGAGAUAAGAACUGAAUCUUAGGCCUUUGGUAACCUGGUUAAUGAAAAUGAAAUGCACACAGAUCAGUUAUGGUUUUAAGUAAAGAAUGAAGACCAGCUCAGUGGUGAUUGGG